CAGUAACGGCGAGUGAAGCGGCAACAGCUCAAAUUUGAAAUCUGGCUCUCGGGCCCGAGUUGUAAUUUGUAGAGGAUGCUUUUGGUGAGGUGCCUUCCGAGUUCCCUGGAACGGGACGCCAUAGAGGGUGAGAGCCCCGUCUGGUUGGACACCGAUCCUCUGUAAAGCUCCUUCGACGAGUCGAGUAGUUUGGGAAUGCUGCUCUAAAUGGGAGGUAUAUGUCUUCUAAAGCUAAAUACCGGCCAGAGACCGAUAGCGCACAAGUAGAGUGAUCGAAAGAUGAAAAGAACUUUGAAAAGAGAGUUAAAAAGUACGUGAAAUUGUUGAAAGGGAAGCGCUUGUGACCAGACUUGGGCUUGGUUGAUCAUCCGGGGUUCUCCCCGGUGCACUCUUCCGGCUCAGGCCAGCAUCAGUUCGCCCUGGGGGAUAAAGGCUUCGGGAAUGUGGCUCUCUCCGGGGAGUGUUA
rnacentral:rRNA from 2 species